rnacentral:rRNA from 1 species
UCAAAUCGGGUGAGACUACCCGCUGAACUUAAGCAUAUCAAU